rnacentral:lncRNA from 1 species
AUGCAGAACAACGCCGGCGAGUUCGUGGACCUGUAAGUUCCGCGGAAAUGCUCCGCUAGCAACCGCAUCAUCGGUGCCAAGGACCACGCAUCCAUCCAGAUGAACGUGGCCGAGGCUGACAAGGUCACGGGCAGGUUUAAUGGCCAGUUUAAAACUUAUGCUAUCUGCGGGGCGAUAGGAUGGGUGAGUCAGAUGAUUCGAUUCUCCGAUUGGCCAAGGCCGACAGCAUCGUCUCAAAGAAGUUUUGA